rnacentral:rRNA from 1 species
GACGAACGCUGGCGGCGUGCUUAACACAUGCAAGUCGAACGGAAAGGCCCUGCUUUUGUGGGGUGCUCGAGUGGCGAACGGGUGAGUAACACGUGAGUAACCUGCCCUUGACUUUGGGAUAACUUCAGGAAACUGGGGCUAAUACCGGAUAGGAGCUCCUGCUGCAUGGUGGGGGUUGGAAAUUUUCGGCGGUUGGGGAUGGACUCGCGGCUUAUCAGCUUGUUGGUGGGGUAGUGGCUUACCAAGGGUUUGACGGGUAGCCGGCCUGAGAGGGUGACCGGCCACAUUGGGACUGAGAUACGGCCCAGACUCCUACGGGAGGCAGCAGUGGGGAAUAUUGCACAAUGGGCGGAAGCCUGAUGCAGCAACGCCGCGUGCGGGAUGACGGCCUGCGGGUUGUAAACCGCUUUCGCCUGUGACGAAGCGUGAGUGACGGUAAUGGGUAAAGAAGCACCGGCUAACUACGUG